rnacentral:lncRNA from 1 species
GGAGGGGAGGGGCGCGGCCGCCGGACGCGCCCUCGCAGCUUCCGCCGGGCCCCUCCGGAAAUCCCGUAUCGUAGGGCGACGGCGGCUUAGAAAGUGCUUCCUGGAGCGCAGACGAGGUCAUGAAUCAUGUGACGGUGGCUUGAGGAGGAACCUGUCUUUAAAGCUGUCCCUGAAGUGACAGCGGAGAGAACCAGGCAGCCCAGAAACCCCAGGACCUAAAGCGAUUCUUGUAUAAAAAGUUACCAAGUGUUGAAGGGCUCCAUGCCAUUGUUGUGUCAGAUAGAGAUGGAGUACCUGUUAUUAAAGUGGCAAAUGACAAUGCUCCAGAGCAUGCUUUGCGACCUGGUUUCUUAUCCACUUUUGCCCUUGCAACAGACCAAGGAAGCAAACUUGGACUUUCCAAAAAUAAAAGUAUCAUCUGUUACUAUAACACCUACCAGGUGGUUCAAUUUAAUCGUUUACCUUUGGUGGUGAGUUUCAUAGCCAGCAGCAGUGCCAAUACAGGACUAAUUGUCAGCCUAGAAAAGGAACUUGCUCCAUUGUUUGAAGAACUGAGACAAGUUGUGGAAGUUUCUUAAUCUGACAGUGGUUUCAGUGUGUACCUUAUCUUCAUUAUAACAACACAAUAUCAAUCCAGCAAUCUUUAGACUACAAUAAUACUUUUAUCCAUGUGCUCAAGAAAGGGCCCCUUUUUCCAACUUAUACUAAAGAGCUAGCAUAUAGAUGUAAUUUAUAGAUAGAUCAGUUGCUAUAUUUUCUGGUGUAGGGUCUUUCUUAUUUAGUGAGAUCUAGGGAUACCACAGAAAUGGUUCAGUCUAUCACAGCUCCCAUGGAGUUAGUCUGGUCACCAGAUAUGGAUGAGAGAUUCUAUUCAGUGGAUCAGAAUCAAACUGGUACAUUGAUCCACUUGAGCCGUUAAGUGCUGCCAAUUGUACAAUAUGCCCAGGCUUGCAGAAUAAAGCCAACUUUUUAUUGUGAAUAAUAAUAAGGACAUAUUUUUCUUCAGAUUAUGUUUUAUUUCUUUGCAUUGAGUGAGGAACAUAAAAUGGCUUGGUAAAAGUAAUAAAAUCAGUACAAUCACUAACUUUCCUUUGUACAUAUUAUUUUGCAGUAUAGAUGAAUAUUACUAAUCAGUUUGAUUAUUCUCAGAGGGUGCUGCUCUUUAAUGAAAAUGAAAAUUAUAGCUAAUGUUUUUUCCUCAAACUCUGCUUUCUGUAACCAAUCAGUGUUUUAAUGUUUGUGUGUUCUUCAUAAAAUUUAAAUACAAUUCGUUAUUCUGUUUCCAAUGUUAGUAUGUAUGUAAACAUGAUAGUACAGCCAUUUUUUUCAUAUGUGAGUAAAAAUAAAAUAGUAUUUUUAAAAAUAUAGUUUGAGCACUGUAUAGGUCCUUUUUUUGUUCAGACUUUUUCCAAAAAUCUAAACAUAAUUAAUAUACUCUUUCAGCCACAUGAAUAAAUAAUGAGUGUUUCUUGUAGGUAUUGGUUUGGAGAUUGUUUUACGGUAGUAUGAACUGUUAACUGGAAAAGAAACCUGAGAUUGCAGUCAGCCAAGAUUGUGCCACUGCACCCCAGCCUGGGCAACAGAGACUCCGUCUCAAAAACAAAAAAGAAAAGAAACCAAGAAACCUCAGGCAUGAACCUAAUUUAAUCUCCAUGAAAGAGGUACUACAGUUCUAGAAUAUACCCUUUAUGUUCAGGAAUGCAGUCUAUCAUUCAGAGUUAAUUUCUUUCUAGGCUCUUUGACAAUCAGUUUUUCCCUGGAUCAGUUCAGUACAUAUGCAUUGAGCACCUGUGUGCCAGUCAGCCGAGCUAUCACAUUGCACAAUUCUAAGAAGCACCAUUCAUGUCUCAUCAUAUUUCUAUGCUCUGGGAGUUGCCUUUCACAUAGAAUAUGUGUGAUUGUUAUCCCUAGAAUUGUGCAGUGAGGCAAUUGGCUAGGUGCUGUGCUGCUUUUUCUUUCUUUCUUUUUUUUUUUAAGAGACAGAGUCUUGCUGUGUUGCCCAGUCUGGAGUGCAGUGGUGGCAUGAUCUUGCCUCACUGUAACCUCUGCCUCCUGGGUUCAAGCUGUUCUCAUGCCCCAUUCUCCCUUGUAGCUGGGAUUACAGGCUUACACCAUCGCACUUGGCAAAUUUGUGUAUUUUUAGUAGAGACAGGAAUUCACCAUGUUGGCCAGGCUGGUCUUGAACUCCUGACUUAAAGUGAUCCACCUGCUUUGGCCUCCCAAAAUGCUAGGAUUAUAGGUGUGAGCCACUGCACCGGGCCAUGUGCUACUUUUUCUUCCUUCCAUCCUUCCUCCCUUCUUCAGUGUAAAUAUGAGAUUAAUUUGUGAUACCUUACUUUAAAGAACUUAGAGUUCAGUAAAGGAAGCAGGUAUAGAAAGUGCUAUGAUAAAGCUAUACAUAGGAUGGUAUAGAACCACAGACUAGGGGCACUUAAAAUGGGCAAGAAAAUAGCCUUUGUAAAUAAAAUAGAGGCAAGAGAUAUAAUGCUUUACCUGCAAAGAGCUAUAAAUACAGCCAUGUACCAUAUAAUGAUGUUUCAGUUAGUGAAGGACCACAUACGAGGGUGGUCAGAACAGCAGGCUAUACCAUAUAGCCUAGGUGUGUAGUAGGCUAUACCAUAUAGCCUAGGUGUGUAGUAGUAGGCUAUACCAUAUAGCCUAGGUGUGUAGUAGUAGGCGAUACCAUAUAGCCUAGGUGUGUAGUAGUAGGCUAUACCAUAUAGCCUAGGUGUAUAGUAGUAGGCUAUACCAUAUAGCCUAGGUGUGUAGUAGGCUAUACCAUAUAGCCUAGGUAUGUAGUAGUAGGCUAUACCAUAUAGCCUAGGUGUGUAGUAGUAGGCUAUACCAUCUGGGGUUCCUGUCAGUACAGUAUGAUGUUCACAUAAUGAUGAAAUCACCUAACAAAGCAUGUCUCGAAAUGUAUCCACAUUGUUACGUAACACAUGACUGUAGUUAAUUGUUACAAUUGAAAUACUAGAUGUACUCAUUGAAAUCCAGAAUUCCCAUUAUCUGGAUUAUUUAAUAUCGUUCAGGAAAUUUUUGCCAGUGCAAUGGUGCAUGAAACAAUGUCUUUUAGAAAUGAGGUGGCCAGAUUUCUAUUUGCAGAUAAUAAUUGUAUAUCUAAAAAUCCUAGAAAAAGAAAUGAUAACAAAUGGAGCUACUUAACCUUUACAUGUUGAAUGCUGCCACUGUUAAAAUUUCUGAGGGGGUAUAAUAGAUAAACUAUCCCAUAGUUCAUCUGGAAAAAUAAGGUGGUGAAAAUUGCUAAGAAAUUUUUGAAAGGGUAAUGUAAACCUAGAUUAACUGUUUUUGAAAGGUAGUACAGAACUGAAUGCACAACUAGAUAUCAAUGGUAUGUACUCACCCAGAAAAAAGACUUCAGUACAUACAUGUGAGGGCUUAAAACAUUGUUAUAAAGACGGGAUCACAAUGGGAAAAGGAUUAUUCAAUAAGUAGGGCAGGCAUUCUCUAUGCCUGCUAGGGAAGUGUGACUUGUUAUACUCUUUAUGUACAGCAAUUGGCAGUCUGUGAAACUUUUAAAUUCAUAUACAUAACCUUUUGCCCUGCAAUUCCACUUCUAGAAAUUUAUCCUACCAAACAAAGCACAUAGAUGUGCAAAAGUAUGUAUUUACAAGUAUAUUCUUUGCAACUUGGUAAUGUCAAAGAAUUGGAAGCAACCUAAAUAUCUGCCAUAGGUAGGAUAACCAUAUGCUUUGGCUUUUUGAACACUACCAGUUUAUACCUGCUGUUCUUGGAUAAUUAUUAAUAGUGCUUUCAUUCUCAAUGUCUCACUUUAGAUAAUAAAUUACAGAGGAUUGGUGAAACUAAUUUGCCCAAUGGAAAAAGGAAUGAAGAAGUGCUUUAGGUACUGAGAUGAAAAGAUCUCUAAGGCAUAAUAAUGUUUAUUGAGAAAAGCAUGGUGUCAAACUGUAUGGCAUGCUACAAUUGAUGUAUAAGAAGAAAAAAUGUGUAUGUAUUCCUAUUUGUUUGUAUAUGGUAGACUGUCUCUGAAGACAUAUAUGGAAGAACCUGAUCACAUUGGUAGUCUCCAAGGAGCAGAACUAGAUACCUGGGGGAUAAGGAUCCCAGGAGUGAGCCUUUUCAUUGUAAACUUCAUUGUACUUUGAGUUUUUAACUGUUCAAAAAUAAUAAAAUUAGAAAUAAAAUAUUUCAACAAACAAUAAAAUGGGAUAUUUGGGGAAGAAAGUUGUCUCAGGGCUCUCCAAAGAAGCAG